rnacentral:rRNA from 1 species
CUCCCAGACUCCUACGGGAGGCAGCAGUGAGGAAUAUUGGUCAAUGGUCGGGAGACUGAACCAGCCAAGCCGCGUGAGGGAGGGAGGUACAGAGUAUCGUAAACCUCUUUUGUCAGGGAACAAAGACUGGGACGCGUCCCCGGAUGAGUGUACCUGAAGAAAAAGCAUCGGCUAACUCCGUGCCAGCAGCCGCGGUAAUACGGAGGAUGCGAGCGUUAUCCGGAUUUAUUGGGUUUAAAGGGUGCGUAGGGGGAAUGCCAAGUCAGGGGUAAAAGCGCGGGGCCCACCCCCGGCCCGCCGUUGAAACUGGCAGUCUCGAGUUGGGGAGAAGUAUGCGGAAUGCGCGGUGUAGCGGUGAAAUGCAUAGAUAUCGCGCAGAACUCCGAUUGCGAAGGCAGCAUACCGGCGCCCAACUGACGCUGAAGCACGAAAGCGUGGGUAUCGAACAGGAUUAGAUACCCUUGUAG